AUGAAGAUUUUAAUGGUAAAGCGUCAGAGAAUCCAUUCGGUAAAAAGAAUGUUUCCUUAUAAAGAAUUUCAAGCAGUUGUACUAGCUGCUGGAUUUGGUUCCCGUAUGACUGAACUUACUAGAGGUGAAUACAAAUGUUUAUUACCAAUUGGAAAUAUACCAAUGCUUUGGUAUCCUCUUCAAUUACUGGAACGUGCUGGUUUUAAAGAAGCUAUUGUUAUUAUAUCUGAAUAUAUGGAGCGUGUUUCAUUAAUCCUAAAUGAUUUAAAUCUUAAAAUUAAAAUGGAUUUCGUUGUUAUCGAAAAUGCAGAAAAUAUAGGGACUGCAGAUUCCAUUAGACUUAUUCAUGAGAAAAUCCAUACAGAUUUUCUAGUGAUCCCCUGUGACUUGAUCACUGAUGUUGAUAUAUGUGAAAUUUUGAAUCUUUAUAGAAAACACAAUGCUAGUAUUACAGCACUAAUGUUGCCUGUUCCUAAAGUACCAAAUGACAUUAUAACUCCAGGUCCAAAAAACAAACAAAAACCUGAUACUGAUUUAAUUGGUAUUAACAAUGAGACAGGACGUUUAAUUUUUUUUGCAUCAGCUUCAGAUUUUGAGGAAACAAUAAAAAUUUCUCAAACAUUACUUAAGAAACAUCCAAGUUUUACUAUUCAUUCAAAAUUAAUGGAUUCUCAUUUAUAUGUCAUUAACAAAUGGGUUUUAGAUUUUCUGGUACAUAAUAAAAAUUUUACUACAUUAAAAGGUGAACUUCUUCCAUAUAUUGUUAGUAAGCAGUUUUCAAAACCCCCCAAGCAAUGUGUGGAUGAUAAAAGUACUUCUAUUGUUCAAAUGAAUUUAAAGAAAGACAUCUACAGUUUUUCAACUGAGAAGCCACUCAAUGAAUUAAUUAGGAAAAUGUCAGCUUUCAAUGAUCAUGAUACUGAUUUAGAAGAUGCAUAUUAUGGAGAUAUAAUACGAUGUUAUGCUUACAUUGAUAAUGGAAAAUUUGGUUUGAGAGCAAAUACUAUACAAAUGUAUCACUUUGCCAAUACUAAGUUACUGCAACUCUACGUAGCACACAAAUGGAAAAUUGUCGAGUUGAUCAUAAUGCUGUUAUUGAUGAAAAAACAUCUCUUAAAAAUACUCAUAUUGGACCCAAUGUAGCUGUUGAGUCAACAGCUAGAAUAUCGCAAAGUGUAUUAAUGGAAGCAGUAACAGUUCGACAGAGAUGCAUAAUACAUAAUUGUAUAUUGUGUAAUGGUUCUUUUAUUGAAGAGAAUACAGAGUUAAGGAACUGUAUAGU
rnacentral:misc_RNA from 1 species